GACGAACGCUGGCGGCGUGCCUAAUACAUGCAAGUCGAGCGAGACUCUUCGGAGUCUAGCGGCGGACGGGUGAGUAACACGUGGGCAACCUGCCUGUAAGACUGGGAUAACACCGGGAAACCGGUGCUAAUACCGGAUAAUCCUUUUCCUCUCAUGAGGAAAAGCUGAAAGUCGGUUUCGGCUGACACUUACAGAUGGGCCCGCGGCGCAUUAGCUAGUUAGUGAGGUAACGGCUCACCAAGGCGACGAUGCGUAGCCGACCUGAGAGGGUGAUCGGCCACACUGGGACUGAGACACGGCCCAGACUCCUACGGGAGGCAGCAGUAGGGAAUCUUCCACAAUGGACGAAAGUCUGAUGGAGCAACGCCGCGUGAGCGAUGAAGGCCUUCGGGUCGUAAAGCUCUGUUGUUAGGGAAGAACAAGUACCGGAGUAACUGCCGGUACCUUGACGGUACCUAACCAGAAAGCCACGGCUAACUACGUGCCAGCCGCCGCCGUAAUAC
rnacentral:rRNA from 1 species